rnacentral:lncRNA from 1 species
AAAGAGUUGUUUUUGUUUUAAAAAUCAGAGUUCAGACUUACAUGUGACAGUUUGUCACUUGAAAUGUGACACUUGACAUUCGCUCCUUUGGUCAUAACCAAAGAAAAAUAAUACGGCAAUUUUUCACCCCUGAACUGCUCACAGCAUCGUGUUUUAAUUUAGAAGGUUUACCAAAAUCUACUCUAUAUUAUCUCACUUUGAAGAAAACCGCUGACUCUUGUUAGUGGGAGAAAUUGAUGAAAAUCUGUAGGGCAUGGCUAUGACUUAGCCCUGGGAAAUGAGUUUUUAGAUUAAAAAGGUUUUGUUUUUGUUUUUUUUUUUUUUUGCACCGCCUGGUUUGUGUGAUUUUGUAUUUGUUGCUGACUCCCUUCCAGGUUCCUCCCGUCAUGCUUUAGAAUGGGGAUCAAGGUGUGCAAAUGUUAUUUAUUUUACUAUAAUGUCCUUGGGAUCCUUACCCACUACCGGGUGUAUCCAGAUAGAAUGCACUCCACCUUAUUCUUUCUCACAGUGGUGACACUGGGCUUCUGAAGCUGCUAUCACUUGCUGUGAACCAUGUGUGAUGACAUCUGGAAGUCAAACCACACAAGCUGAAGCCUUGUAAGGCUUCUUCCACAGAACCACUGAUAGCCAUUUUAGAUACAGCUCUGGGGCAAGAACUUAGCAAACAGAGCACUUCUCACAGCCACAAAUGACACCCUGACAUGUGACCACGGAGGUUUUUUUUUUUUUUUAAAUCCCUUGUGUCAUUUUUCAACUGCGCAGGGCACACAGAUCAUUUCUUCUAAAUCUUAGGGAGGUCAUGUUGACAUUUGAAUACCUAAAAAGGAUUAGAAUGUAUGGCGUGGAUAUCAGAAAUAAUAUAUCGAUAUUUGUUUGAAGGUAAGACAAGCAGCAUUAGAACUAAUUAUAAAAUGAUUUUAAAUCCCCCAUUUAAAAGGUAUUUAUUAGGUUUUAAGUUUGUUUUGAAUAAAACAAUUGUAAAGCCAGC